rnacentral:rRNA from 1 species
GAUGAACGCUAGCGGCAGGCUUAAUACAUGCAAGUCGAGGGGUAGCAAGAUUGUAGCAAUACAAUUGUUGACGACCGGCAAACGGGUGCGGAACACGUACACAACCUUCCUACAAGUGGGGAAUAGCCCAGAGAAAUUUGGAUUAAUACCCCGUAACAUAGCGAUGUGGCAUCACAUUGCUAUUAUAGCUUCGGCGCUUGUUGAUGGGUGUGCGGCUGAUUAGAUAGUUGGCGGGGUAACGGCCCACCAAGUCUACGAUCAGUAGCUGAUGUGAGGACAUGAUCAGCCACACGGGCACUGAGACACGGGCCCGACUCCUACGGGAGGCAGCAGUAAGGAAUAUUGGACAAUGGACGCAAGUCUGAUCCAGCCAUGCCGCGUGAAGGAUUAAGGUCCUCUGGAUUGUAAACUUCUUUUAUAAGGGACGAAAAAAGGUCUUUCUAGAUCGUCUGACGGUACCUUAUGAAUAAGCACCGGCUAACUCCGUGCCAGCCGCCGCCGUAAUAC